UACGUGAGGGUGGGGUAGCUCCGCCCCGUGCUGCGAUUCCGAGGCAGGUGGCGCGUUCCAGUUCCACCCGGGCCUGAGGCGUUCUGAGGCGGGUUGCGCGGGAAAAGAUCUUAAGGGAGCCACCGGGCUCAAGAAGAAAGCCAGAAAAUAAGACACCCUUACAAAUCUUGCUGAAAAUGGCAGGCGGGUCCAACGUUACUGGUAAGGUCCGAGGUGGCGGCUGGGGCCACGUGUGUUUUCUCGGGAAACUGGAAGAGGCACUGUAAAGAAACUUUAUAAUCUAAAGGGACGUCCCACCUUGGAGUUUUGUAUGCACCAGUA